ACGGGCGUGGUGGAAUUGGCAGACACGCCGGAUUUAGGAUCCGGUGCCUCACGGCUUGGAGGUUCAAGUCCUCUCGCCCGUA
rnacentral:tRNA from 1 species